UGGGGAAUCUUGGACAAUGGGCGCAAGCCUGAUCCAGCCAUGCCGCGUGAGUGAAGAAGGCCUUCGGGUUGUAAAGCUCUUUUACCAGGGACGAUAAUGACGGUACCUGGAGAAUAAGCCCCGGCAAACUUCGUGCCAGCAGCCGCGGUAAUACGAAGGGGGCUAGCGUUGUUCGGAAUUACUGGGCGUAAAGCGCACGUAGGCGGAUUGUUAAGUCAGAGGUGAAAUCCCGGAGCUCAACUUCGGAACUGCCUUUGAUACUGGCAAUCUCGAGUCCGGAAGAGGUUAGUGGAAUUCCCAGUGUAGAAGUGAAAUGCGUAGAUAUCAGGAGGAACACCGGUGGCGAAAGCGGCUCACUGGACCGUUACUGACGCUGAGGUGCGAAAGCUAGGGGAGCAAACGGGAUUAGAUACCCCCGUAGUCCCUGAGCGGGCUGGCAAGGCGCAU
rnacentral:rRNA from 1 species